rnacentral:rRNA from 1 species
UACGAAGGGGGCUAGCGUUGUUCGGAUUUACUGGGUUUAAAGGGUGCGUAGGCGGACCAUUAAGUCAGAGGUGAAAUCCCGCAGCUUAACUGCGGAACUGCCUUUGAUACUGAUGGUCUUGAAUUAGGUUGAGGUUAGCGGAAUGUGGCAUGUAGCGGUGAAAUGCUUAGAUAUGCCAUAGAACACCGAUUGCGAAGGCAGCUAACUGGCCCUUGAUUGACGCUGAGGCACGAAAGCGUGGGGAGCGAACAGG